rnacentral:lncRNA from 1 species
GACAGCUGCUGUCCUGGACCCAGGGGUGAGGAGGACACACCCCCUGGCGGAAUGCACAGCUUGGCUGGGAGCAGACAUCCAGGUGACAAGGGGCGUAGCUCCCCCGUCUUCAGGGUUCACACCUCACCCAUGUCAAAGCUCAGCUCCAGCACACCUGCCGGGCUGGACACCGCGAGUCAAGGCCCUGGAAAGUGAGCCUUCCCAGUGGAGCUGCAAGCAAGGACCCAGCACACUCGCUCCUGAGUCUCCACCCGGGAGCAAUACGUGCCCCUGUCUGCACAAGGAGGCUCAGAGCGGCUUCACACGUCACAGCCCCAGCCGGGACGCACCCGCCCGCCCGCCAGCAGCCGACUGUCCAUGCGACGGAGUACGACUUGGCAAUGAAAAAGGACAACGAAAAAGCACAGAUACACACGCCAGCACUGAGGAAUCUCAAAAAAAAAAAAGACAUCAUGCUGCGCGAGGAAGGAAGCGGGA